UACGUAGGGUGCAAGCGUUGUCCGGAAUUAUUGGGCGUAAAGAGCUCGUAGGCGGUUUGUCGCGUCGACUGUGAAAACUCGAGGCUCAACCUCGAGACGCCGGUGGAAACCGUAAGGCUAGAGUCCGGAAGAGGAGAGUGGAAUUCCUGGUGUAGCGGUGAAAUGCGCAGAUAUCAGGAAGAACACCCGUGGCGAAGGCGGCUCUCUGGGACGGUACUGACGCUGAGACGCGAAAGCGUGGGGAGCGAACAGG
rnacentral:rRNA from 1 species